GAUGAACGCUAGCGGCAGGCCUAAUACAUGCAAGUCGAGGGGUAGAAGAGGCUUGCUUCUUUGAGACCGGCGCACGGGUGCGUAACGCGUAUGCAACCUACCUUCAUCUGGGGGAUAGCCCGGAGAAAUCCGGAUUAAUACCGCAUAAAAUCACAGGAUGGCAUUAUCCAAUGAUCAAACAUUUAUGGGAUGGAGAUGGGCAUGCGUGUCAUUAGCUAGUUGGCGGGGUAACGGCCCACCAAGGCGACGAUGACUAGGGGAUCUGAGAGGAUGGCCCCCCACACUUGUACUGAGACACGGACCAGACUCCUACGGGAGGCAGCAGUAAGGAAUAUUGGGCAAUGGAGGCAACUCUGAACCAGCCAUGCCGCGUGCAGGAAGACUGCCCUAUGGGUUGUAAACUGCUUUUAUUCGGGAAUAAACCUUAUUACGUGUAAUAAGCUGAAUGUACCGAAGGAAUAAGGAUCGGCUAACUCCGUGCCAGCCGCCGCAGUAA
rnacentral:rRNA from 1 species